rnacentral:lncRNA from 1 species
AUUACACCCAUAUGUUUUUGCUGCAUACGCUGGGGAAAUACACGUACAGCAGCAUGCUCUAGCGAUGUUUCUUCCCAUUCCAGGAGCCAUGCUGUGGGCUGAGCUCACACAGCUUCCAGUUCCGAUGAUGGCGUCCGCUCAGCAUCUUUGCAGUAAUAUUUACAGCGAAUGGUCAGCAAAUGGUUUCUACUGUUUGGUAUUUCUACAAUCACCUUGAAGAUACCUUGAGUUUCCUUACUACCUGCGUCUUUAAGCCCAGGAGUCAUUUCUCCUGACUGGCAAUAUAACCCCACCUAUCUUCAGUUAGUGAUCACAAAUUCAGACUGUUUGCCAGACCAUACAGAUAGAAAAGAUCAUAGCGGAAUAAACCAUAUGUGUCUCAGAAUAGACACUUUUUAGGAGAGUACAGUGAAAUAUCAUCAGCUGAAGACACUGGGCAGCCUUUGGAACAAGGAGAAAUGAUGUUCACAUAACAAGAGAGAAGCCAUGAUGUGAUCAAUUCCAUGGAGAGAUCUAUGUUGCAGGACAAUAGCAAGGAACAGAAGCUUGCCAACAACUCUGUAAAUGAGUUCAGAGCCUGGGAAGGUGAUGAGAGUGGUGAAUACUUGGACACAUAACGGAUGUCAAAUUAUAAUUUCUAAAGAAGAAAGUGGCUUCUGACUAUUAAUAAAUCCAUUGAAGCUUUACUUUAACCUUCAGUCCUAUCAGGUUUGCGAAACUAAUCAAACACCACAUGGGACUAGCCUUGAAUCAACUACACCCUAAAAGUACAUUCUUCACAACCCUCCUAAUAAUUCUGUUUGCCAAGAGGCAAGGAAACAGGUGAAGGAGAAAUGAUCCCUUGAGAAGCUAUGGGCAAGAAUGUGUUGGAAAUGUAGGAUAAGCUACAACUUUAGCAGAGUAGAAUGAUGUCUAAAGUCUUCUGGAUGACAAGAGUGAGCAUAGGAGGUGCUCAAGGAGGAGAAAGUCAAACACAUUUUCAGCCAUGAUUACAUUUUUAUAUAUGAUACUUUAAAAACGUUCAAAAUGGGCAUUCACUGUAGGGGAGUACAGGAAAUAAUCUAGAGAUAACACAACUAACAUGCUGGCGUACAACGUUCUGGUUUUUAUGUGUGUAUUACGAUUCUCUUCUUAAUUUGUCUCAUAAAAUUUACAUAAAAUUUGAUAUCCUUUCCUCCUCCGUGGAUGACAUAUUGUAAGCAUGUUCUUGUUUUACCAGAUGAACCUGUCAAGACAUAAUUUAAUGUUUACAUGACACUCUAUUAAAUGAAAAUACUAAUAGUUAAUUUUCAUCGGCACUCUGCCAGGCGCUACAGACUCAGAACAUUAGUGUAGCACCAUGGUUAAAGCUUGUAGCACCAUGGUUAAAGCUUAGAACAAGCUCGGCAUGAUGUUCUCUUAGGAAUCACUCAAGCUUGGAAAGAACUUACUCCCUGUCGUGAGAUCAAGGACUGGCU